rnacentral:tRNA from 1 species
GCUCUGGUGGCGAAACAGUUAAGCACUUGGCUGCUAACCAAAAGGUUGGUGAUUCAAACCCACUCAGCAGCU